rnacentral:rRNA from 1 species
AAAAACAUUUCUAUUAGCAAUUAUUAAUAGUAAAAUCUGCUCAAUGAUAUUUCAAUAGCCGCAAUUAAGUGCUAAGGUAGCAUAAUCAUUUGUCUUUUAAAUAAAGACUAGAACAAAAGAUUUAACAUCUUAAUCAUUUUAUUUAAUAUAAUACUUAAAUUUAUUUUAAAAGUAAAAAAACUUUUAUUUCACAGAAAGACGACAAGACCCUAUUGAACUUUACUUAAGUUAAACUGGGGCAGUAAAUCAUUUAACAUUUUAAUUAAACUACUUUAUAAAAUAGCCAUAUAAUUGAUAACUCAGUUACCAUAGGGAUAACAGCGUAAUUAUAUUUAAAAGACCUUAUAUCAAAAAUAGAUUGCGACCUCGAUGUUGAAUUAAUAACCUAAUUAAAGCAAAGUUUAAGUCUAGGAAGUCUGUUCGACUUUUAAACAAUUACAUGAUUUGAGUUCAGACCGGUAUAAGCCAGGUCGGUUUCCAUCUUCUAUAAAACUUUCUUGUAGUACGAAAGGACCUAAGAAAAUAAUAUAAUUAUUAAAUUGGCAGAACAAUGCAUUAGAAUUAGAAUCUAAUUAACUAUAAAUUUUUUUUAUUAUAAAUUAUCUACUAAUUACAAUUAGAAUUCUAAUCAGAGUCGCCUUUUAUACUAUCUUAGAACGUAAAAUUCUAGGAUAUAUACAAAUCCGAAAAGGACCAAAUAAAGUAGGUUUAAUAGGGAUCCUUCA